rnacentral:rRNA from 1 species
GAUGAACGCUAGCGAUAUGCUUAACACAUGCAAGUCGAGGGGCAGCACAAGGUUUCUUUCUAUCUGGCUGGCGACCGGCGCACGGGUGCGUAACGCGUAUGCAACUUUCCCUAUACAGGUGGAUAACCCGUCGAAAGACGGACUAAUACUACGUAUUCUCACAACUUGGCAUCAAGUGGUGAGUUACGACAUUCGGUAUAGGAUUGGCAUGCGUCCCAUUAGCUUGUUGGUGAGUUAACGGCUCACCAAGUCAACGAUGGGUAGGGGAACUGAGAGGUGUAUCCCUCAGAGGGGGACUGAGAAAAGGACCAGACAGAUACGGGAGGGAGUAGUAAGGAAGAGAGGAGAAGGGGAGAGAGCCUGAACCAGGCAAGUCGCGUGAAGGAUGACUGUGUUAGGGAUGAUAAACUUCUGGUAUAAGGGAAUAACAAGAGGCAAGUGUGACUGAGUGAAGGUAACGUAUAAAUAAGCAUCGGCUAACUACGUG